rnacentral:rRNA from 1 species
UACGUAGGGUGCUAGCGUUGUCCGGAUUUAUUGGGCGGAAAGAGCUUGUAGGCGGUUUGUCGCGUCUGCCGUGAAAAUUCGAGGCUCAACCUCGAACUUGCGGUGGGUACGGGCAGACUAGAGUGUGGUAGGGGAGACUGGAAUUCCUGGUGUAGCGGUGAAAUGCGCAGAUAUCAGGAGGAACACCGAUGGCGAAGGCAGGUCUCUGGGCCACUACUGACGCUGAGAAGCGAAAGCAUGGGGAGCGAACAGG